rnacentral:rRNA from 1 species
AUUGAACGCUGGCGGCAUGCCUUACACAUGCAAGUCGAACGGUAACGGGUCCUUCGGGAUGCCGACGAGUGGCGAACGGGUGAGUAAUAUAUCGGAACGUGCCCAGUAGUGGGGGAUAACUGCUCGAAAGAGCAGCUAAUACCGCAUACGACCUGAGGGUGAAAGGGGGGGAUCGGAAGACCUCUCGCUAUCGGAUCGGCCGAUAUCAGAUUAGCUAGUUGGUUGGGUAAAGGCCUACCAAGGCAACGAUCUGUCGUUGGUCUGAGAGGACGACCAGCCACACUGGGACUGAGACACGGCCCAGACUCCUACGGGAGGCAGCAGUGGGGAAUUUUGGACAAUGGGCGCAAGCCUGAUCCAGCAAUGCCGCGUGCAGGAAGAAGGCCUUCGGGUUGUAAACUGCUUUUGUCAGGGAAGAAAUCUUCUGGGCUAAUACCCCGGGAGGAUGACGGUACCUGAAGAAUAAGCACCGGCUAACUACGUGCCAGCAGCCGCCGUAA